GCAUGCGCCCUACAGUGAAAAUCUCUCCAAAAAAAAAAAGCUUCCUCCAUGGCAGUGGUAGCCGCCCUUCCUUCUCUGUGCCCCGUACCCCUAAGUCCACUCUGCCAGGUCUUCACGUCACUUCGUGUCCUAGUUGUUUUUCCAUACGCCUUGUCAAUGCCCCACUUACACGGACUCCCGGAACGAGACCGCGCUCCCAAGGGCAGCCUGAGCAACAUGGAAUGAAGCAGACAUUUCUCCGGACGGCAGAUCACUCAGCCUGUCCUUCGUGAAGCGUUUACCGAAACCCUUCCAGGCCAGCCUACGUAGCACAGCUGGGACACAACGCUCCACGGUGUUGAGGCCACACGGGAAGGUCCUGGGUUCACAACCUGAGGUUCCCUGUGUGGGCAGGCGUGCACAUGUGCCGGUGAUCCUGGCUGGCCGAGGGGGCCCCAGGGCAUGCCAGCGAUCACAGGGUCACCAGAAGGGAAGACGGAGUCCUGGUACCCAACAGUUCACCACCUAUGGAGGGCACCCAAGAGAUCCCCACAAAGUUAAAUGACAGAACGGCUAACUGCUCACCCGAGCCAGACCGAGCACGGACGUGGGUGACCCUGCAGUUGACCACAGUUCGAGUCCUGGAUCCGGUGGCUUAAAC